rnacentral:rRNA from 1 species
UACGUAGGGUGCAAGCGUAUCCGGAAUUAUUGGGCGUAAAGAGCUCGUAGGCGGUUUGUCGCGUCUGCUGUGAAAACUGGAGGCUCAACCUCCAGCCUGCAGUGGGUACGGGCAGACUAGAGUGCGGUAGGGGAGAUUGGAAUUCCUGGUGUAGUGGUGGAAUGCGCAGGAUAUCAGGAGGAACACCGAUGGCGAAGGCAGAUCUCUGGGCAUUAACUGACGCUGAGGAGCGAAAGCGUGGGGAGCGAACAGGAUUAGAACCCG